UUUUUUUUUUGAAAAAUAUGAAGAAAAAAAAAAUAUUCAAAAAAAAAUUUGAAAAGGGAAAUAAAACUGUUGCAAUAAAACUGAUUGUAUAAAAAAACACAAAAAAAUGCUGUGAAAGUAUCUCAAAUACUAUCGAUGAUAUGCGAUCAUCUGUGUAUUUCAUAUAUCUAUUAUGUGUAUUGUUUAGUUCUGUUAGUCGAUUGAUUGAUUAAUUGAUGGGUAAUUGUAACUGUGAUCAAUUUUGAGUCAGUAAUCUGGCAGCUAAAUGACUCUAGAAUAUAUAUUGUCCUUCAGUAUUUCAGAAAUUUUUACUGUUGAGAAGUAAAAAUGUGAUAUUAGGUUAAGGAACAUGUGAAGUUGUGUCUGGAGAGAGUCAUCCUCUUUUAGUGCCUUAUUAUUUAACACACUCACCAGUAAAAGUUUCCAUUCAUUUAUUUUUUCCUCAAAAAAAAAAAAAGAAAAAGAAAACUUUAGCAUUCUUGAAUGUAGGUAGCAUCAUAUUAGUUUGGGCUUGUCAACAUUUCAUUUUUGUCAUCAGACAUUCUUGUAGAUUUAGGAUUUUAUUAACUGACAGGCAGUGGUGUUAGUAAUCUGGCUCAUUUGACAGCUAAAGGACAGAUAUUCCAGAUCUUUUUACUGAAAAAGGAAGAGUGAUUUAUGUGUUUCGCAAUAAAUUGUAUCAUGUUAGACUGAACUAGUGAAUAUUGGUACUGUUAUAUUAGUUUGGGCUAUCAGGCAUGUCUUCUUGAAGAUUUAGGAUUUAAAAUAUAUUGUUCCAUCAUAAUCAAAGACAAGAUGAGUAGACAUCUUCAUUUUGAACAUGGUGGGGAUUUUCAUGGAGAAUUGUCUUUUAUGAUUAAACCAAGCAGUUCCUAAGGCUUCAUAGAAAACCACUUCAGUGGCCGAAGUUGGUUUCAUUUUAAUGAUGGCUUAUAAUUUGUUUGAUAAUUUGAGAUUUGGCUAUUACACUGAGAAAGUUAGAUGAUUAUAGAAUAGGCUUAUCCAGGGAUUUGUGUUAUU